GUAUUUAAGAACUUUAUAUUAUCAUGGAACCACAAGCUCUGAUAUGGUACUGCAUUCUCUUUGUUCAGCACCCAGGCCUGUCUCUCUAGCCCUGCCAUCCAAAUCAUCCAGCAAUACAGUUUCACCACUGAAGAAGAGCUCCAGCUCCACAUUGCCCUCUACUGCAUCCUCAAGAAGCCCAGCAGGCAGUGUGAAAGACAGUCCAAGUGGUCCAAGCAGACGCACACCCGUACCCACCAUAACAAGCAUCUGUAGGAAACAGCAAGACAGGUCAGGCUGCUCCUAAAAAGUUGAUGACCUUAUAUCUGCAUUGACAAAAAUCGCAGGACUGUAGCUGUAGACCAGGCAAGAGCCAGAGACUUUAUUGGGGUGGGACACUGACUUAUGAAUUUGACAUAUAAAUUGAUGCACUGGUUUUUCUCUGUAUAUAAAGAAAUCUGUCCAUUAUUUCCAUAUGAAAAAAUGUAUAUCAAUAUUAUUGGCGAAGGAAAACUGAAAGACAACACUUGAUGUUUUUUAGUCAUUCAUGAGGAAAUGGUGUACUCGAACCAAGUACAUUAAAUGCAUCAUUUUUUUCAGUGUCUAACACUGAGAAAACAUCAUACAGACAUAGGCCAAAGAAGCUAUUACAUGAUUAUAAUGAUUAGAAAGCCAGACAGACAGCAUUGUAUAAGAUAAGAUACAAUACAAUGAUAAAUGAUAAUAAAUUAUAAUAGCUAAUUUUGAUAGUCAGCUCAUUUUUACAUCACAUAGCUUACUUAACAAUGUAGCUCACAGAGCAGUGCUGUUCAUGGGGUCCAGUGAACAUUCACUUGCCUGUUUGCUCAGCAAAUGACCAAAUAUUACACAUUACAACGUCAUUAGACUCAUAUAACUGGUUGAUCACUACCCUGUUGGCAGAUUUUUGCCAUAAAGGAUAAUCGAUGCUUUAUGGAUAAUGGCUGACUGAUGAUGGUUGUCUCUCAUUCCAUUACUGGGGUGGCCAGAUUGGCUUUCCAUGCUUCAUUCCAGUUUGGCGUUGGCCACCCUUCCCUCAGUGCAUUAGUAAAAUAACAGAAAACACAACAACUCAAAAGAAAGCCAAUGGGCAGAUGCUGAAACAGUUUCCGGUUGGGUUUUUUUGUAAGCUUGCUUUGAGGCAGCAAAUUUUUUGUUCUUUUCCAAGAACAGAGAAUUUGUUGCCUAUUAUAAUUAAUAUUAUACUAUAUAUGCAGUAUAUAAGGCUUAGGUUGAAAAACACUAAAUUAUUCCUUUAAAUUUUUACUGAAAAUACAUGAUUACUGAACAUCAUGUUGGUGUUAUUUGUUUACAUUCAACAAGCAGCAAGCCAAAGGAGGCCAGUGGCAGCGUUAUAGGUAAGAGAAUCACAUAAGUCAAGUUCCAGUAAUGGAAUUUACUGACUGAGUUGACCAUGUAGAAUUUUCUAUUCUUGGUAAUGGUAAUGUUUAUGUUAUACAAUGCUGUCAUCUUUUUUGUUUUUAGGAACACGACGUGUGACACACUGCAAAGGUAGGUGUUAUGCCACCUUGUGAUUUAUUUAUCUAUUAGGCUAGUGAGUUGUUCAUUAGUUUAAAAUUUUAAAAAUUAAAUAUUUUGCAAUAUAAACAAACUUAAUAUAAAACUAUUCUUAUAAGUGUGUUUCUUUGUUUUGUAUCCCUCCCUACGGACCCCAUCUUCUAAUCCUUCAUCCUUGUUCCUCACUCCUCCACCCCUU
ensembl:lncRNA